UGUUGUGUUGGUGUUGAUAGAUCUGAAUUUAAAAAGAAAAAUAAAUGAUGGCAUUAGCAGAAGAACAAGUGUCAAAUCAUCAAACACAGCUAAAGGCCGUUAUCAAAACCAUAUAAUCACAAAUUUGACGACAUACAGCCAUCCUUCUUAAAAUACAUACAACCCAUUCAAUCCACGUACAUUUGGUGUACAUCAUAUGCACAAAAGUACAGGCACACAAAUACACUAAAAAAAAAUUCUAUUGUUCGCUGCAAAAGACCAUGACUCAUGAUAGAAAAUUCAAGUAUCUAAAGAAAUCAACAUAAUUUUACAUCAGUUAUUCCCCCAUUGUCAUUUUAAAAUUUAAUAUAUGUUCAAGCCCGAUGAAACUGAAACUUAAGCAGUUAAAAUGAAUGCAAUUACAAGAAAAGUAUAUGGAUGAAGACAUGAAAAAUGUAUAAAGAUAAGUUCAAUACGUAGUCUGUCCACCUCCAUUGAAUACAAAGUAGGCUCAACUAUUCUGAUAUCAGGCCCCAUUGGCUAUCAAAUACAAAUGACUCCACAUGGCUGCAGACUUGCCACAACCGUCAAUGGUAAGAGUCCCUUGUUUGUCACAAGAGAAUCUUCCAACUAGAUGUCAAACCCUCUCACUUGAGUGUGUGUUAUGUGAUGCCUUUAAUUUUAUUCUCAAACAUGUUUGAUCCAGGAAAUAAUGUAGUCAAAAGAAAUGAUGCGAAUAAAAUCUUAGAUUCACAUUCAAUUAAAACAACAUGAUCACUUCCAAUGAACUCCAGUUUGGGAUUACGGUUUAGUUGUUGUUGUGAAUCACUUGCAAUGAAGAAAUACCACUUGACAAAAUCAGUAAUCAAUUUAUGGUUUUCGAAGUCUCACCAAGUGCCUGGCUGCCAAAUGCUUUUGUAGGGCUUUGACAUCAGCUUGAAAACCAGAAGACGCCAUUACACUUUUGUCAGCUCUGAGAGCAAGAAGAUCACCAAAAUACUGAGUUAAAUUUGAUUAUGCCUUCAAGUAUAACUAGUAUUUCACAAUCAAAUGACGUCAACUGCAAUGCUCAACAUAUAUGCCAAAUUUAAACCAAUUCAUUUCCAUGUUAUUCAUCUGCCAUAUACUUUACCUUAGCAAGCGUACAAAUAUUUGAAAAGGGUGAAAAAAACCUAAAAAUAGCCUGCUGUGCACCCAAUUUAUAGCCAAUUGGCGCACGACAUUCAUCAAUCCGUUUCAAUGAGUAAAGCAUUUUCAGAAUUAGUAGAAACCAACAGAAGCCCUAAGAACUCCGUUCAAAACCUAAAAUACCCGAAAACCACAUUAGCUCCCACAAUUCUCACAAGAUACCAUUACAACCCAACGACAAUAACAAGUAGCCACACUUAGCCGUUCAAUCUACACACAGAAAACGAAAAUCGAGAAUUGAAAAACACGCACAGUUUACAGAUUUUGGAGUACUCCCGGGUGAGAAUACUGUAGCCAGUGGACAUUCUAGUGUCAGCGGCGAUGACGCAGUAAUCGGCGCCAGCAAUCGCAACACAAGACCCUCCAUUGUUAUCGUAUGGAGACCAGUUAGCUUGUUGCUUAGUCAUGUUUUAUGAAGCAAAAUGGAGAUUAAAAUAGAUUAUGAUAAA
rnacentral:misc_RNA from 1 species